AUGAGCGGAGAACUCUCACCGUACGCUCAAAUAUCCACCGUGUUGUCUGUUCAAAUGACAAGCUCUCCGCGCUGCGCUGUCCUUUGUUGCGAGCAUCUCAACGUAAACACUGAGCUGACCCGUUCUGCCCGGCGCGUGCACGACGUAGGAGGGGACGCACAAAGGGCUCAACGACAUCGCCGCGACGUCUUCUGGGACUGGAAGCAGCAGACACACCUUCCUUUGAUUCUGUGGGUGGAGGCGCUGCAGCCAGUUCGCUUCAGCCCUGAUGGAUGUUUUGACAAGUGCUUCUCUUGCCAAGGCCCAACGAGCUUCCCUUGUGUGAACCAUGGGGAAAUAACGAAAAAGGCAAAACUCCUGCACAAUGGGUGACCAGGUUACAGCUGCAUGUGAAAGGAAGCUGUUGUGCGUCUGGACGCUUGGACACAGACUGAACGAUGACCUCGAGUUUGUGACACGGUCUCAUUUCUGCACUUCACAUGUUUAUUGUUAUAACCUACUGGAGCCUGGGCAUGUCCCCGUAGGAAAAGUGGUUUGAAUAUGAGCAAAAGCAUGUGACGCUGGACACAACGUGACGCGCACUAAGGGCAAACUGUUCUCAGAGAGCAUUUUACCCUUUGUUGUUGUUGUGCGAUAAGGCCAAAACAUAGCAACAGCUGGGCCACAUCGGCCGCGUCGGCCGUCAGCGGGGCUGCACGGAGACGUCUGCACUGGUGUGACAGGAUUAUGUGAUAGAAACAUGCUGCGCUCAUGCGUUGCCAAAUAUUAAAUAACACCACUGUCCCGUGUUUGAGGGG
rnacentral:lncRNA from 1 species